rnacentral:rRNA from 1 species
GACGAACGCUGGCGGCGUGCUUAACACAUGCAAGUCGAACGCUGAAGCCCUUUCGGGGGUGGAUGAGUGGCGAACGGGUGAGUAACACGUGGGUAAUCUGCCCUGUACUUCGGGAUAAGCCCUGGAAACGGGGUCUAAUACCGGAUAGGACCUGUCCUCGCAUGGGGGUGGGUGGAAAGUUCCGGCGGUAGGGGAUGAGCCCGCGGCCUAUCAGCUUGUUGGUGGGGUGAUGGCCUACCAAGGCGACGACGGGUAGCCGGCCUGAGAGGGUGACCGGUCACACUGGGACUGAGACACGGCCCAGACUCCUACGGGAGGCAGCAGUGGGGAAUCUUGCGCAAUGGGCGAAAGCCUGACGCAGCAACGCCGCGUGGGGGAUGACGGCCUUCGGGUUGUAAACCUCUUUCGGCAUCGACGAAGGCAUCUCUGUGUGGGGUGUUGACGGUAGGUGUAGAAGAAGCACCGGCUAACUACGUGCCAGCCGCCGCCGUAA